GCCGGGGUAGCUCAGCCUGGUUAGAGUGCCAGACUCAUAAUCUGGAGGUCGCGGGUUCGAAACCCGCCCCCGGCA
rnacentral:tRNA from 13 species